rnacentral:rRNA from 1 species
AUUGAACGCUGGCGGCAGGCUUAACACAUGCAAGUCGAGCGGAGAUGAGGUGCUUGCACCUUAUCUUAGCGGCGGACGGGUGAGUAAUGCUUAGGAAUCUGCCUAUUAGUGGGGGACAACAUUCCGAAAGGAAUGCUAAUACCGCAUACGUCCUACGGGAGAAAGCAGGGGAUCUUCGGACCUUGCGCUAAUAGAUGAGCCUAAGUCGGAUUAGCUAGUUGGUGGGGUAAAGGCCUACCAAGGCGACGAUCUGUAGCGGGUCUGAGAGGAUGGUCCGCCACACUGGGACUGAAACACGGCCCAGACUGCUACGGGAGGCAGCAGUGGGGAAUAUUGGACAAUGGGGGGAACCCUGAUCCAGCCAUGCCGCGUGUGUGAAGAAGGCCUUAUGGUUGUAAAGCACUUUAAGCGAGGAGGAGGCUACUGAGACUAAUACUCUUGGAUAGUGGACGUUACUCGCAGAAUAAGCACCGGCUAACUCUGUGCCAGCAGCCGCCGUAAUAC